AUGACAGAUCCACGGAUUGACAGGGGAAAGCCUGGAGGUCCAACAGCCGUAGCCAGGAAGGAAAACGAUUCAAGACAGACAAGAGCUGCGGCGGUGGGUAGAGGACUCCUACAGAUGCGAGGUAAGGAGCUUUCCUCUCUGCAGUUGCAGGAUCCUUAAGCGCUCAUGAAGAUGGUGCCACAGCCCCUAGACUCUCUCAACACACACUUUCUCAGGUGUUGGCUUUUUCAGAUCACCCCUUCUGCUGCAAGAAAGGCCCUCAACAACUGGGUAAGUUUUUUUUUUCCCCCUCCUUGCUUUUGGGCCAAGUCAGGACAUGUAUGUAUUUUUCUCCCCACAGCUCUGUGCCCAAGCCUUGCAGAGGGAGACGGCAGAGAGGAAGGCUGCCUGCAAGCAGCACAGGUAAAUGUGGCUGCAGGCAAGCCUCAUCCUUUCUCAGAAUGGCCCUACUUGUCUGAUCUCAUGGCUGGCCCUUCAGGAUCACUGAUGGGCUGCCAGCCGCCUCCUCCACCUGGGUGUCAUCUGGGAACUCAACCACUCCCUCCAUCUGGAGGUUUUCUGGGACCUCAACAAACUCCUCCACUGGAGUGUCCUCUGGGGACUCAACCACCCCCUACACUAGAGAGUCCCCUGAAAACUCAACCACCUUCUCCACUCAAUUGUUCUCUGGGGCCUCUUCCAGCUCCUGCAGCUGUCAGUCCUCCAGGACCUCAUCCACCUUCUGCAGCUGUCAGUCCUCCGGGACCUCAUCCACCUUCUGCAGCUGUCAGUCCUCUGGGACCUCAUCCACCGGCAGCUGUCAGUCCUCCAGGACCUCAUCCACCUCCUGCAGUUGUCGGUCCUCCGGGACCUCAUCCACCUCCUGCAGCUGUCAGUCCUCCGGGACCUCAUCUGCCUCCUGCAACUGUCAGUUCUCUGGGACCUCAUCCACCUGCAGCUGUCAGUCCUCCGGGACAUCAUCCACCUGCAGCUAUCAGUCCUCCAGGACCUCAUCCACCUCCUGCAGCUGUCAGUCCUCCUGGACAUCAUCUACCUGCAGCUGUCAGUCCUUUGGAACCUCAUCCACCUCCUGCACCUGUCCGUCCUCCCGGACAUCAUCCGCCUCCUGCAGCUGUCAGUCCUCCCAGACAUCAUCUACCUGCAGUUGUCAGUCCUCCGGGACCUCAUUCACCUCCUGCAGCUGUCAGUCCUCCUGGACAUCAUCCACCUGCACCUGUCAGUCCUCCCGGACAUCGUCCACCUGCAGCUGUCAGUCCUCCAGGACCUCAUCCACCUCCUGCAGCUGUCAGUCCUCCCAGACCUCAUCUACCUGCAGCUGUCAGUCCUCUGGGACCUCAUCCACCUCCUAUGGCUGUAGGUCUUCUGGGACCUCAUCCACCUCCUGCAGCUGGUGGUCCUCUUGGACCUCAUCCACCUCCUGCAGCUGUCGGUCCUCUGGGACCUCAUCUACCUCCUGCAGCUGGUGGUCCUCUGGGACCUUAUCCACCUUCUGCACCUGCUGGUCCCCUAGGACCUCAUCCACCUCCUGCAGCCGUAGGUCCUCCAGGAUCUCAUCCACAUCCUGCAGCUGUUGGUCCUCUGGGACCUCAUCCACCUCCUGCAGCCAUAGGUCUUCUGGGACCUAAUUCACCUGCAAAUUGUGUCUGCCCUCCAGGGCCUCAUCUACCUCCUGCAGCUCUUGGUCCUCCCGGACCUUAUCCAUCUUCUGCAUGUUUCUGUCCUCCAGGACCUCAUCCAUCUUUUAUAGCUGCCUUUCCUCUGGGACAUCAUUCACCUUUUUGUUCUGUGAGGCCUCUGGGACCUCAGACUACAUCUUCACUUAGUAACCUCUGGAUCCUCAGCCACGCCUUCUACCUGGGUGGCAUCUGGCCCCUCAACAACCACCUUCACAUGAAUCUCCUCCGCUACUUCAAUGAUCUCCACUCGUGGCCCCUGGGACUUCAGCCACCUCCUCCACCAGGGUCUCCUCUAGCACAUCUGCCACCUUCUCCACUUGGCUGGCCUCUGCUGUCUGAACCGACUCCUCCAGGACCUCAACCGCUCCUCUACCCAUUGUGGCCUGUAAGACCUCGACCACCACCUCCACAUGUACCAUUUCGUGUGUUUAUCUGA
rnacentral:lncRNA from 10 species